AUUGAACGCUGGCGGCAGGCUUAACACAUGCAAGUCGAGCGAGCGGCGGACGGGUGAGUAAUGUCUGGGACACUGCCUUAUGGAGGGGGAUAACUACUGGAAACGGUAGCUAAUACCUCAUACCAUACGAUGUGCCCAGAUGGGUUUAGCUAGUAGGUGGGGUAAUGGCUCACCUAGGCGACGAUCCCUAGCUGGUCUGAGAGGAUGACCAGCCACACGGGAACUGAGACACGGUCCAGACUCCUACGGGAGGCAGCAGGGGGGAAUAUGGCACAAUGGGCGAAAGCCUGAUGCAGCCAUGCCGCGUGUGUGAAGAAGGCCUUCGGGUUGUAAAGCACUUUCAGCGAGGAGGCGUUACUCGCAGAAGAAGCACCGGCUAACUCCGUGCCAGCAGCCGCGGUAAUAC
rnacentral:rRNA from 1 species